rnacentral:rRNA from 1 species
GACGAACGCUGGCGGCGUGCCUAAUACAUGCAAGUCGAGCGAAUCUUUCGGAACUUGUUUCGAAAGGUUAGCGGCGGACGGGUGAGUAACACGUGGGCAACCUGCCUGUAAGACUGGGAUAACACCGGGAAACCGGUGCUAAUACCGGAUAAUCCUUUUCCUUUCAUGAGGAAAAGCUGAAAGUCGGUUUCGGCUGACACUUACAGAUGGGCCCGCGGCGCAUUAGCUAGUUGGUGAGGUAACGGCUCACCAAGGCGACGAUGCGUAGCCGACCUGAGAGGGUGAUCGGCCACACUGGGACUGAGACACGGCCCAGACUCCUACGGGAGGCAGCAGUAGGGAAUCUUCCACAAUGGACGAAAGUCUGAUGGAGCAACGCCGCGUGAGCGAUGAAGGCCUUCGGGUCGUAAAGCUCUGUUGUUAGGGAAGAACAAGUACCGGAGUAACUGCCGGUACCUUGACGGUACCUAACCAGAAAGCCACGGCUAACUACGUGCCAGCCGCCGCCGUAACAC